CCUACGGGAGGCAGCAGUGGGGAAUAUUGGACAAUGGGCGAAAGCCUGAUCCAGCAAUGCCGCGUGAGUGAUGAAGGCCUUAGGGUUGUAAAGCUCUUUUACCAGGGAUGAUAAUGACAGUACCUGGAGAAUAAGCUCCGGCUAACUCCGUGCCAGCAGCCGCGGUAAUACGGAGGGAGCUAGCGUUGUUCGGAAUUACUGGGCGUAAAGCGUACGUAGGCGGUUAUUCAAGUCAGAGGUGAAAGCCUGGAGCUCAACUCCAGAACUGCCUUUGAAACUAGAUAGCUAGAAUCUUGGAGAGGUGAGUGGAAUUCCGAGUGUAGAGGUGAAAUUCGUAGAUAUUCGGAAGAACACCAGUGGCGAAGGCGACUCACUGGACAAGUAUUGACGCUGAGGUACGAAAGCGUGGGGAGCAAACAGGAUUAGAUACCCUGGUAGUCCACGCCGUAAACGAUGAUAACUAGCUGUUCGGGCUCUACGAGCUUGAGUGGCGCNGCUACGACAUUAAGUUAUUCCGUCCGUCGGGGUAGGUACGGUCGGCGAGAAGUUAAACUACGUAAAGAAAGUUAGUAGGCGUUGAGACGUUGCCGACGGACGACGACGAGGGGAGGUUAGG
rnacentral:rRNA from 1 species